rnacentral:rRNA from 1 species
GGACUACAGGGGUAUCUAAUCCUGUUUGCUCCCCUAGCUCUCGCGCCUCAGCGUCAGUGAUAACCCAGAAAACCGUCUUCACCACCGGUGUUCUUCCACAUAUCUACGCAUUUCACCGCUACACGUGGAAUUCCGUUUUCCCUAAUUACACUCUAGACUAGAAGUUUCAAAUGCAGGUCUGGGGUUGAGCCCCAGGAUUUCACAUCUGACUUUCUAGACCGCCUACGCGCCCUUUACGCCCAGUAAUUCCGAUCAAUGCUUGCACCCUCCGUAUUACCGCGGCUGCUGGCAC